CUCCCUCCGCGCCCCGAAAGCGCCGACCUCCCCCAUCCCCCCCCCGUCCCGGCCCCCCUCGCCCCGACUGACCUGCGCCGCCGCCGGGGCCAGGCUGCGGCACCGAGGGGCAGGCGCUGCUGGGGGCCCUGUGCGGCGAGAGCCCGCGCGGACGGGGCCUCCUCUGCCCGCCCGGGGUCCGCUCUGUGGCGGCCCGGCCGACUCCCUCGGUCCCUGCCCCCGGAAGCCGUCCCGCCAGCCGGUCCUGACAGCCCCCGUGGGCCACAGAGACAGCCUCCGCGUCCUAGAACAGCUGCAGCACGGACGAUAGAUACCGCAGUGGAGCGCCUAGAGAGGCUUUGCCUACGCAGGAAGUGACCGUGGCGAGCGAGAUAGCGUGCUAGAAGAGCUCCCGCGACAGCAUUCGUGCCCGGGGAAGGGACGGCACGGCGGCACUUGACUGAUGGUCCACAGAGCAAAUCACGCGGCUCAGAGGGGAGGCUGGGUAGCCAAUGGGGAGAGGGCGGGGGCGGUGCUGGGGCCGAGCGUGGGGUAGCGGCUGUGUAGGGUGAGCGGGGGGGUCGUUGUGUCCCUCUCGGCCGGGCCGGGCCGGGCCGGCCCCCAGGUACCGGCCCGCAGGCCCUGCGAGCGUCCCAGCCCCUCGGGAUCAUCUGGCACCCAGGCUGGAGAGAAGUAUCUCUCUCUUCCAGGACUCAGCAUGUAUGAAGACUGCAAAUCCAUUUCUGCUCAGGAGAUGAUGGAAAAAUGUCCUCUCUCACUACAGAAGAGCACUCUCAAAUUUCCCUGCUACUACUUGAAACGUGGUGAUGCUUUUAAAGCAGACAUUUUCUGUGGCCUUAGCUGCUCACAGGUCUGUCCUAAAACCGAAGUAGCCACUGUGCAUACAUAA
rnacentral:lncRNA from 1 species